GCCUCCAUGGUGUAACGGUUAACAUAUUCGGCGCAUAUUCGAGAGGUCCAGGUUCGAGUCCCGGCGAGGGCU
rnacentral:tRNA from 1 species